rnacentral:rRNA from 1 species
AACGUAGGAGACAAACGUUAUCCGGAGUUACUGGGCGUAAAGGGCGUGUAGGCGGUUUGUUAAGUCUGGCGUGAAAGCUCUCGGCUAAACCGGGAGAGGUCGUUGGAUACUGGCAAACUAGAGGACGGUAGAGGCGUGUGGAAUUCCGGGUGUAGUGGUGAAAUGCGUAGAUAUCGGAAGGAACACCAGUGGCGAAAGCGGCUUCCUGGUCCAGCACCGACGUUCAGGCACGAAAGCGUGGGGAGCGAACAGG